rnacentral:rRNA from 1 species
GAGAGAGACAUGCGCGCAUAUCAAUAAGGCGGAGGAAAAGAAACUAACAAGGAUUCCCCUAGUAACGGCGAGUGAAGCGGGAAGAGCUCAAAUUUGAAAUCUUAAAGGGUUUCCCUUUACGAAUUGUAGUUUAAAGAAGUGUUUUCUGUUGAGGUUUUGGUAAAAGUUCUUUGGAAUAGGACAUCAUAGAGGGUGAGAAUCCCGUAUUUGACCUUUACUUUCAACUUUGUGAUACACUUUCAAAGAGUCGGAUUGUUUGGGAAUGCAGUCCAAAAUGGGUGGUAAAUUUCAUCUAAAGCUAAAUAUUGGCGAGAGACCGAUAGCGAACAAGUACCGUGAGGGAAAGAUGAAAAGAACUUUGAAAAGAGAGUUAAACAGUACGUGAAAUUGUCAAAAGGGAAGCGUUUGACACCAGUGUUGUUUUUCUGAAAAUCAAUUAAAGAACUGUUUAUGCUAAGUUGUUUAGACUUUAUCAGCUAUCUGCUUAGUUUUGAGCUUUUCUUUAAUGCACUUUUCAGUUAACAAGUCAACAUCAAUUUCUUUUGCUGUAAAAAAGCUUGAGGAAGGUGGCUUGAGAUUCGUCUUAAGUGUUUAUAGCCUCUUGCCUAUGCAGUCGGAGAGAUUGAGGUCUGCAGCGUAGAUCCUUCGGGGCUAAAUGCAUUUGUGCUAAGUUAUAGCAUUUUAUAGACAACUUGUUGACUAUGAUUUGUCUUGUAGCUUACUCGCUUAUGUUAUUUUACCUACGCUUAGGAUGUUGACGCAUGAGAUAUACGC